rnacentral:snRNA from 1 species
GUGCUUACUUGUGCAGCAUAUAUGCUAAAACUGGGAUGAUACAGAGAUUAGUAUGGCCCCAGCACAAGGAUGACAUGCAAAUUCAUGAAGCAUUCCAUAUUAUU